GACGAACGCUGGCGGCGUGCUUAACACAUGCAAGUCGAACGGAGAGGCCUGGCUCUUGCGGGGGGCUCGAGUGGCGAACGGGGGUGUAACACGUGAGUAUCCCGCCCUUUAGUCUGUGGUAUCUUCAUGAAACUGUGGCUAUUAUCCGAUAUGAGCUACUGCUGCAUGGUGUGGUGUGGGAAGUUUCGGCGGUUGGGGAUGGACUCGCGGCUUAUCAGCUUGUUGGUGGGGUAGUGGCUUACCAAGGCUUUGACGGGUAGCCGGCCUGAGAGGGUGACCGGCCACAUUGGGACUGAGAUACGGCCCAGACUCCUACGGGAGGCAGCAGUGGGGAAUAUUGCACAAUGGGCGGAAGCCUGAUGCAGCAACGCCGCGUGCGGGAUGACGGCCUUCGGGUUGUAAACCGCUUUCGCCUGUGACGAAGCGUGAGUGACGGUAAUGGGUAAAGAAGCACCGGCUAACUACGUG
rnacentral:rRNA from 1 species